rnacentral:rRNA from 1 species
AUGAAAAUGGCAGUUGAUUUCGUUUCUAUUUUUUUAGGAAUAACAUUGCUAAUGUUCAGUGUAGUUAGAGACACAUGCCUUGAGCAGAUCAGAGGGCCGGAAGCCGCCCAUCCAAAGGAAGCAGCGCUCGGCUGGGGUCGCCCACAUCCCAGUGAUGAGAUGAAAGACGUCCGCCCUGGCAGCGGCACUCUUGAGGCGAAAGAGCUCAUCGUAGUGGGUCAAGGUGUCGUCGAUGAUGGCCCUGAGGUCACCAUCCGGCAAGUGCGCGUGCAGGCCUCCCCGGAGCUCAAUCAUGCGCCUGCUGUCGUCGUCCAGCCACCUGUUGUACUCGACAUCGAACAUAGCAGCACCUGGAAAAUAGAUAUCACAGUUCGUAUUCAGUCCAAUGCCAAAUCUUAA